rnacentral:lncRNA from 1 species
GAGCAUUAUCUGGACUGGGGUUGCAGGUGUGGGGUGGAGAACAUGGUACUGGAGAAGUUUAGGAGGCUGAAUCUUCAGUCUCAUUGAUUGUCUCAAUGUGUGGAAUUGUUCCGGGAGGAGUCAAGGAUGGAACUCAGGAUUUUGAACUGGGCAACUGGAUGACUGGUGGGACCAUUUAAGAAUUUAAGGAAGAGAGAAAAAGGAGAAUUAUGAGAAGGAGGAAGAUGGUGAUUUCUCUCCAGUUUGGAGUUUUGGGAGACACCCAGGGAAAGGUUUCUAACAGACACUUGGACAUAUGGGUCUGAAGCUCAGGAGGGAGAUCUAAGGUGAUGCCAUAGACAUGGGAGUCAUCAGCUCAUAGUGGUAACUGGAUAAUGGAAGUCUGGGAAGACGGGCAUCCCCUGGGGGGAGAGCAGAUGAGACAAGCCAUGGGUAAAAGCUGGGGGUCCUGAACAGUUAAGUGAAGGGCAGAAGGAGGCAUCCCACAAGAGAGUACAAAGAACUGGCAAAAGAAGGAGGGGGAAAAUCAGGGUAGUGUGAGGUCAUGAACCACGGGCAGAGGAAAGCUAGAGAGGCCAUAAGUGGUCCCUCUCGGAGAUACUGCCUGGAGGUCAAGGCAGGAGGCAAGAAAGAUUUAGCAACAUGUUUUUAUUCAACAGCAUUAAAAAGAAAAAGACAAAAUGGGGAAAGUAUUUAUUUAAUAAUAAAAAGGAGAAAAUUCAGUAGAUAAAUAAGUAAUACACAUUAACAAA